rnacentral:ncRNA from 1 species
CUUGUGGACUGUUCUACCAAAUGGGAGUAGUCUUUAUAUCUCGAUACAAAAACAAAACCAGACAGGAUGAAGCAAGAA